CAGUCCCGACGGGGAAGAAACAGCAAGCAAAUAUCUGGAGGCUUUCUUCGUCAGGAAUCUUUGCAAAUAUGCCCUGUUCCUCUGUGGUCAUGGAGAUCUUUGGUUGGAUGCUGAUCAUCGGCAAAGGAACUGAGCUUGCAACUGCACAAGAGGUCUUCUCCUGCUAUUCACCAAAUGGGGAGUCUUGCUGCCCCUCUGCAACGUGGGAUGUCCCAAACACAACUUCAAGAAUUGGCUGUGCUUCCUUGUGUUUACAGUACCAAUGCGAAUGGUAUUUGUUUGCAGCUGGUGGGUGUCGCAUUCAGGGGAGAACCUAACCGUGCCUUCCAUUGGUGAGAAGACGCGGACGUUUCGGAGAGUGACGCACUUACCGACUUUGGUCAGUGUCGCUCAGGGAAAACCAACUAAGAGUGUGGCCUUCUG